GACGUAGGGCGCGAGCGUUGUCCGGAUUUAUUGGGCGUAAAGAGCUCGUAGGCGGCUUGUCGCGUCGAAUGUGAAAACUCGGGGCUCAACUCCGAGCUUGCAUUCGAUACGGGCAGGCUAGAGUUCGGUAGGGGAGACUGGAAUUCCUGGUGUAGCGGUGAAAUGCGCAGAUAUCAGGAGGAACACCGGUGGCGAAGGCGGGUCUCUGGGCCGAUACUGACGCUGAGGCGCGAAAGCGUGGGGAGCAAACGGG
rnacentral:rRNA from 1 species